UGGGGAAUUUUGGACAAUGGGGGAAACCCUGAUCCAGCCAUCCCGCGUGUGCGAUGAAGGCCUUCGGGUUGUAAAGCACUUUUGGCAGGAAAGAAACGUCAUGGGUUAAUACCCCGUGAAACUGACGGUACCUGCAGAAUAAGCACCGGCUAACUACGUGCCAGCAGCCGCGGUAAUACGUAGGGUGCAAGCGUUAAUCGGAAUUACUGGGCGUAAAGCGUGCGCAGGCGGUUCGGAAAGAAAGAUGUGAAAUCCCAGAGCUCAACUUUGGAACUGCAUUUUUAACUACCGGGCUAGAGUGUGUCAGAGGGAGGUGGAAUUCCGCGUGUAGCAGUGAAAUGCAUAGAUAUGCGGAGGAACACCGAUGGCGAAGGCAGCCUCCUGAGAUAACACUGACGCUCAUGCACGAAAGCGUGGGGAGCAAACAGG
rnacentral:rRNA from 1 species